AUUGAACGCUGGCGGCAUGCCUUACACAUGCAAGUCGAACGGCAGCACGGGAGCAAUCCUGGUGGCGAGUGGCGAACGGGUGAGUAAUAUAUCGGAACGUGCCCAGUCGUGGGGGAUAACGCAGCGAAAGCUGUGCUAAUACCGCAUACGAUCUAUGGAUGAAAGCGGGGGAUCGCAAGACCUCGCGCGAUUGGAGCGGCCGAUAUCAGAUUAGCUAGUUGGUAAGGUAAAGGCUCACCAAGGCGACGAUCUGUAGCUGGUCUGAGAGGACGACCAGCCACCAUGGAACUGAGACACGGUCCAGACUCCUACGGGAGGCAGCAGUGGGGAAUUUUGGACAAUGGGCGAAAGCCUGAUCCAGCAAUGCCGCGUGCAGGAUGAAGGCCUUCGGGUUGUAAACUGCUUUUGUACGGAACGAAACGGUGAGCUCUAAUACAGUUUGCUAAUGACGGUACCGUAAGAAUAAGCACCGGCUAACUACGUGCCAGCCGCCGCCGUAA
rnacentral:rRNA from 1 species